UGCAUUUCUCAUUACAACAGGUUGAUUUAUAAAAUAAUCAAUAAAAGUGUGUAGGUUUGAACACUAAUGGAAUCUUUCAUGUACAUUAAUUGCUCCUAUAGAGACAUCAGGCUCAGAGUUUAACUGGUUUUAGCACAGCAGUGGGAGCUGGGAAGCCCACAGAGAGAAGUGUGACUUGACAGCCCCUCUUGAAGGUGUAAAAGGUGAACACAUGGCUCCCAGCCCCUCUCUGGGGAGCAUCCUUUGAAUCUGCAGGAGUGCACUCCUGGUGUGUGCUGGCUGUGCCUCGUUCUGCAGUUCCGUGGUGAUACCCACAGAGGGUACUCACGGAUCACCCACAAGGUAGCCAUGCCAGGAGUGGGGCGCAGCUUCUCUUCUGCCCUGGAGGAGCCGCAGGGAUUUUACUGCAGCUUACACUCUGUAAAUUUGCUUUGAGGGGGAUCAAACAGAUUUAUCAGUACUCGUCGAGAUUUUUAAUUCUGGGCUUACAGUAGUGUCCCCUAAUAAAAAAGUACUUAGGUUGGAAAUGUUGUUACAGAACUAAAUGGAUUGAGACUUGCUCAUGCUCCUUGUAUCCCCUCCGGCUCUUUGCAUCGCCUUCUCCAAAUGAGCCAUGCUGAAUCUUUUCAAUUCAGAUCCUAAGCCAUUUAUACCUCAGAAUAGUAAACAGAAAAUAAACUUAAUGGACUAUUGUGCCAAGACCUGCAUUUAACCUCCUACUUUCCCCAGAAUCUCCACAGCACAACUGAUUUUUGACUCUCCAAACCUUUCAGGAACCAUUAUGGCGUAACCAGGCGGAAUGUAUUUCAGAGGCUCUGCCAGAUUUCUGUUGUCACCAGCAGCUAUUCUGACCUGUUACCCCAGAGUUUGGAAUGCUGAUAGCUCUGCCUGUCAUCAAGAUGCAGAAGGAAAAAAAUGAGACCUUUGCAAGCUCCUAGCAGUCUAUAAUGACAAAUAGAACUUGUCUGGGACAUGCUGUCAAAAAUAAGACACCAGCUCUGGACAAAGAUCAGUGGGGGAUGUAUUUCUGCUAAAGUACAAAGGUAUAAAUGAUGUUGAAACAAUAUAUUUAAAUACACUCAACGGCUACAAACUGGAAGAGGGA
rnacentral:lncRNA from 1 species